UACGUAGGGUGCGAGCGUUGUCCGGAAUUAUUGGGCGUAAAGAGCUCGUAGGCGGUUUGUCGCGUCGUUCGUGAAAACUCCACGCUUAACGUGGAGCGUGCGGGCGAUACGGGCAGACUUGAGUUCGGUAGGGGAGACUGGAAUUCCUGGUGUAGCGGUGAAAUGCGCAGAUAUCAGGAGGAACACCAGUGGCGAAGGCGGUGCUCUGGGCCGGAACUGACGCUGAGGAGCGAAAGCGUGGGGAGCAAACAGG
rnacentral:rRNA from 1 species